rnacentral:lncRNA from 1 species
GAUCAUACGGGGGGAUGACACAGAGCUGGAAUCUAAUUCUUGGGAUGUCGAAUCAAGAUUUGCAAAGAUGAAGACCCAUCACCCUGGAAGAAUGAGAAGAAACAGGCAAAAUAGAAUCUAAAACUCUGAGCGUCACACAACCCACCCUAUAAGGAAAGAAUGGAGAGUUCUGGCUCAACACCAUGCUGUGCAAGGAGCAGGUUGGGGGAGAAAAAAACGGAGUGUCCUGAAUUCAACCCAGAGUUUUAAACACUGUCACAAAAGCUGGUGGGCUGCACUCUAGAGCAGUGUCCCCAAACUUCUGUUUCUGUGGGCCACUUUCAUGAUGUCUGCCAUAACUGCAGGCCACCUGUGCUCUUGCCAGCAAGAAAAUGAGGACUUCAGUCCUGCAACCACAAGGAGCUGAGUUCCGCCUGCAGCCCAAGUGAGCACGAAGCAGGAUGUCCCCUGGAGACCCCAGGAUGAAGCUCCACUUGCUGAUACCUGAAUUUGACUCUGGUGAGAUUUGUGCUGGACUUCUGAUCAGCAGGACACUGAGAUUAAAAAAGGGGCAAGAGAAUACCGGGGUCCCAGAGCUACCAGGAAGCGCCACACUCUGGCCACAGGUGUCUGGCUGAGCACUGAGUUCUCUGCACCUGCACUUCAAGGUGAGGUCAACAUUUGCUCACAGAUACUCCUCGACUGCCCCACA